UACGGAGGGUGCAAGCGUUGUUCGGAAUCAUUGGGCGUAAAGCGCGUGUAGGCGGCUUGGCAAGUCAGUUGUGAAAGCCCGGGGCCCAACCCCGGAACUGCAUCUGAAACUGCCUGGCUAGAGUCCCGGAGAGGAAGGCAGAAUUCCCGGUGUAGCGGUGAAAUGCGCAGAUAUCGGGAGGAACACCAAUGGCGAAGGCAGCUCGCUGGGACGGUACUGACGCUGAGACGCGAAAGCGUGGGGAGCAAACAGG
rnacentral:rRNA from 1 species